GAUGAACGCUGGCGGCGUGCCUAAUACAUGCAAGUCGAACGGAGAUUGUAGCAAUACAUUCUUAGUGGCGAACGGGUGAGUAACGCGUUGGUGACCUGCCCCGAAGUGUGGGAUAACAGCUCGAAAGGGUUGCUAAUACCGCAUGUGGUUUUUCGGAUUAGAUGCCGAAUUUCUAAAGGAGAAAUUCGCUUCGGGAGGGGCCUGCGUCCCAUCAGCUAGUUGGUAGGGUAACGGCCUACCAAGGCAGUGACGGGUAGGGGACCUGAGAGGGUGGCCCCCCACAAUAGGCGACUGAACAACGGCCGACUACACCUACCGGGAGGGCUG
rnacentral:rRNA from 1 species